AGCAGCCGCGGUAAUUCCAGCUCCAAUAGCGUAUAUUAAAGUUGUUGCAGUUAAAAAGCUCGUAGUUGAAUUUCGGGGUUAGUAGGUUGGUCAUGCCUCUGGUAUGUACUGGUCUCACUGAUUCCUCCUUCCUGAUGAACCUUAAUGCCAUUAAUUUGGUGUUUUGGGGAAUUUGGACUGUUACUUUGAAAAAAUUAGAGUGUUUAAAGCAAGCUAACGCUUGAAUACAUUAGCAUGGAAUAAUGAAAUAGGACGUUCGAUCCUAUUUUGUUGGUUUCUAGGAUUGACGUAAUGAUUAAUAGGGAUAGUUGGGGGCAUUAGUAUUCAAUUGUCAGAGGUGAAAUUCUUGGAUUUAUUGAAGACUAACUACUGCGAAAGCAUUUGCCAAGGAUGUUUUCAUUAAUCAAGAACGAAAGUUAGGGAUCGAAGACGAUCAGAUACCGUCGUAGU
rnacentral:rRNA from 1 species